rnacentral:lncRNA from 1 species
CUGGCAUCUGCACAGCGCACACGGCUCCGCGGGCGGCCCACACCGGCCUCCGGACCACAGGGAAAACCAUGGAAACUUCAGGACCUUCCUCCCAGACUCAAGAUGACAGUCGAGUCCAUGCAGAAACAGAAGACCUAGACUAUGAAGAGACGGAUUUCUACAAGCCAGACAGGGAGGCUGGACUCCUUUCCCAAGAACAACCUAAGAGACACAAGUCUUCUACCUCUUCCUCCUCCUCAUCUUCCUCCUCCUCCUCAUCAUCCUCUUCCUCAGGUAUAGUAAUAUUUAUAUAUAUGUAUAUAUGUGUAUAUAUAUAUAUAUGUUCACAGUAUUAUUCAAGAAAAGCAUUUACAUGGAAA